GCCGAGGUGGCACAGGCAGUUUGUGUUUGGCUGCUAACCAAAAGGUUGGCGGUUUGAACCCAUCCAGCGGCU
rnacentral:tRNA from 1 species